GUGGGGAAUCUUAGACAAUGGGCGCAAGCCUGAUCUAGCCAUGCCGCGUGAGCGAUGAAGGCCUUAGGGUUGUAAAGCUCUUUCGUGGGGGAAGAUAAUGACUGUACCCCAAGAAGAAGCCCCGGCUAACUCCGUGCCAGCAGCCGCGGUAAUACGGAGGGGGCUAGCGUUGUUCGGAAUUACUGGGCGUAAAGCGCACGUAGGCGGACUGGAAAGUCAGGGGUGAAAUCCCGGGGCUCAACCCCGGAACUGCCUUUGAAACUCCCAGUCUUGAGUUCGAGAGAGGUGAGUGGAAUUCCGAGUGUAGAGGUGAAUGUCGUAGAUAUUCGGAGGAACACCAGUGGCGAAGGCGGCUCACUGGCUCGAUACUGACGCUGAGGUGCGAAAGCGUGGGGAGCAAACAGGAUUAGAAACCCGGGUAGUCC
rnacentral:rRNA from 1 species